rnacentral:rRNA from 1 species
AUUGAACGCUGGCGGCAGGCCUAACACAUGCAAGUCGAGCGAGCGGCGGACGGGUGAGUAAUGUAUGGGGAUCUGCCUGAUGGAGGGGGAUAACUACUGGAAACGGUAGCUAAUACCGCAUACCAUCAGUUGUACCCAUAUGGGAUUAGCUAGUGGCUAAGGUAACGGCUGACCAAGGCGACGAUCCCUAGCUGGUCUGAGAGGAUGAUCAGCCACACUGGAACUGAGACACGGCCCAGACUCCUACGGGAGGCAGCAGUGGGGAAUAUUGGACAAUGGGCGCAAGCCUGAUGCAGCCAUGCCGCGUGUGGGAAGAAGGACUGCGGAUUGUAAAGUACUUUAAGUCGGGAGGCGUUACCGACAGAAUAAGCACCGGCUAACGCCGUGCCAGCAGCCGCGGUAAUUC